rnacentral:rRNA from 1 species
ACGGAAGGCAGCAGUGGGGAAUAUUGGGCAAUGGGCGAAAGCCUGACCCAGCAACGCCGCGUGAAGGAAGAAGGCCUUCGGGUUGUAAACUUCUUUUACCAGGGACGAAGGACGUGACGGUACCUGGAGAAAAAGCAACGGCUAACUACGUGCCAGCAGCCGCGGUAAUACGUAGGUUGCAAGCGUUGUCCGGAUUUACUGGGUGUAAAGGGCGUGUAGGCGGAGCUGCAAGUCAGAUGUGAAAUCCCGGGGCUCAACCCCGGAACUGCUUUGGAAACUGUUUAGCUAGAGUGCAGGAGAGGUAAGCGGAAUUCCUAGUGUAGCGGUGAAAUGCGUAGAUAUUAGGAGGAACACCAGUGGCGAAGGCGGCUUACUGGACUGUAACUGACGUUGAGGCUCGAAAGCGUGGGGAGCAAACAGGAUUAGAUACCCUGGUA